rnacentral:lncRNA from 1 species
CUUAAAUAGGCUUCUGGGCUUUUAUUCAAAACAACACUGGUGGUGGCUGCCGCUUGGUUUCUCUACACCCGGGCCAUCUGGGCCAGCAGGUACCAGCGCCAUCAGCAACUAGGAGGGAAGUUCAUUCACACCAUAGAAACUGUACAGCGACUGAGAGUGCUAGAGUCACGGUGGCGGCCCAGGCCGAGGGCUUCCUGGAGGAGGUGGCCUCUACCUCCUCAGUAGGCUGCAGCUUGGCCCAGGCUCUGCCAGGAACACGGAUUAUUGCACAAAGACAAAAAAGAGUAUGUGUAUCUGGGCUAAAGAGCAGCUCUUAUGACCCCAAGCCCUUACACAACGCAGCAAAGGGGGCUGGGGUUGGCCCUGGAAGCGGAAGGCUCCGAGCCGAGGAUAUGGGGGAAGACAGGCAGACGGGCUUUACACGCUUUGUCCUCCUUUAAGGGGCUGCCUGGUACAGGAGAAGGUAGAGCAGAGGAGACAAAGAGGGUUUGGCUAGACUGGGUUGUCUCUGCACAGAUGCCAAGGUGCCUGCCCAUCACCACCCUAUGGAGCAGCAGAGACAGCUCAGGGACCUGCGUCCCCACCUUCCCCACUGCCAGGCCCAUGUGGGUUAGGGCAAAUUUGUGCUUUUGUGAUAGACACAGGCCUGAGGCCAUGGCCCCAGACCACAGGGUUGAGGAGGAAGGAAGGGCCCUUUGCCCAACCCUCACCCAUUCUGACUUGUGCUGGCCAGUAGAUCACAGCUUCCCUGGUUCCCCAUCUCUGUCACCCACAAGAACAAGGCCAAGUGUCUGGGAUCGGCAGGUGGGGCCUCCAGGAGCCUGGCCAUCUCCCACUGCUUCCUGCAAGGAGCUUCUCUGCCUCUGAGCUCAGCUCUUUUAACUUCUCCACACGCCCCGCUCUGUGGGCCCUGGAGCCUUCGCUCAUGCCCAUCCCUUUGCCUAGAACACCUGCCCCGAGGUGUCUGCUUGUUCCAGAGCCACAUGGUUCAGGGCAAGGGGAGGUUUCACAUCAGACCUGCCUAGGAUGUGUUCCCCGCGCAGCUGCUCUGAACCCAUGUAACAGCAGGAAAGGAUGCUCAGCAGAGUCACAAGAUGACCCAAGGCUGCUGGACCGGCGUCUGAUCCUGCCAAUUUGAAGCCCAACCUUCCACAUGGUCUUCCCAGGUCACACAGCCCCUCUUCUGGGCUCCAACACACAUGUCCCUCCAGCAACACAAGGACUUGCAAAAAGUCAAGUCUGUCUGCCUCCCUCCAACUGCGCGUGCUCAGGGUCAGCCAGGAGCAGGUAAGCCCGCCCAGACACUUCUUCCCCAGACAACGUAGCUCGCUCCACAUAAAACCACCUCCGUGGAAAGGGAGGCAGGGCCGAGGCUCUUUGGAGGGGUCAGCAUUGGGCUUGGACCCAGCCAUCCUCACAGGUCUACCUGCCCCGCAGGGAGGACUGGGCAGUUCCUCCCGCCGCAGGCACCUUGCUCAGCAUCACAGCCCUAGGGUAUGGAGUGGGGCCCUCCACACCACCCCAGCUUCUUUGCUGCUAGGGCCCUGAAGGAUCCUGGGCUGGCCGCUUCCCCUCUCCGGGGCUCAGUUUCCCAGGUGGGCUUGACAACCCCUCCUGGACCGCUCUCCCUCAGCCCAAAAGGUCUCUGCAUGUGACAAAGCACACAUUGCCCACCACCUCCCCCAGGGUCCCUGUGCCAGCCUGGAAGACACCCAGAACCCCUCCAAGGGGCACCCCACACCCUCACCAG